UUCACUGACUUGCUACGAAAUAUCGAGCCUGUUUUUUUAUUAUAUUUUUUGGGAUGCGGUUCCCUUAUAUUAUAGACCUCAGAAACUUGAGUUGCCAAGAUAUUGACCCAAGGUGGAAAAAAUGGCUACAGGUCACCUAGUUCUGAAGCCUACCACUCGUCAUCCCAAGCAAACAAUCUCUGAGGAUAUUUCUAGACUGACCAUCGACCCCAAAAAGAGUAACAGCAGCUCCCAGUCCUCAGAAACGAGUUCCAAUUUUGGCGCUGUUCUCCAGCCCAAGAAGGAGAGAGGUAAGAAGAAAACGAAGGGCAGAAGCAGCAAUUUCUUCAGCAUUACUGACAAUAAAAUUGAGGGGAUCAGAGCUAAGCGGGUCGGAAUUUUCCAGUUUGGUAAGACCCACGUCCAUAAAGGCCACCAGAAAGAAAUACAAGUCGACUACAGUAGUGGAGAAACCGACUCGGCCUCCAGUGAAGAAGAAGAGUAAGCUGAUGACUCGCAGAGGGAAAAAUUGGAGUACUCUGCCUUUGAAGAGAAGAAAGCUGAACAGAAUACAGAGGAGGAGCUACUUUCGAUCUUUAAAAAUUUUAGUCUCCACUUAGCUUUUUUCAUUUCUCUAGUGUGCCACACACGCUAAAGAUUUACCAACCUUACGUGGCCUUUUAAUUACCAUGCAAUUCAAAAUAACUUUGCCCCUACCAUACAAUGGAGAGAUGCGCCAGCACAAAGUCAAGAGUCAAGUGCCGAUGGCGACUAAUUUUCUGACUGGUGAUGACCAUCAGCCUCCGCAGAAGAGCACCGAGUCAUCACUGCUAAGAGAAAAGACGAUGAAAACGACGAAGCCCGCUGGCGCGCAUGAUUAUGUACAGGAGGUUGACAGAAGAAUAUGUCAGACUAUAGAUGACGGAAAAGACCCGCAAGAGCUGGCCCUUGAGCAGGGCCGGAUCUUAAGUCAGGCAGGGUAAGCUACCGCCUACCCAAAAAUAUUUCACUAAAUAAAAAAUCUAUAUAUAAGCUAUGUAAUUGAUAU